rnacentral:rRNA from 1 species
UGGGGAAUAUUGGACAAUGGGCGAAAGCCUGAUCCAGCCAUGCCGCGUGUGUGAAGAAGGCCUUAUGGUUGUAAAGCACUUUAAGCGAGGAGGAGGGUACUGGUAUUAAUACUACCAGGUACUGGACGUUACUCGCAGAAUAAGCACCGGCUAACUCUGUGCCAGCAGCCGCGGUAAUACAGAGGGUGCGAGCGUUAAUCGGAUUUACUGGGCGUAAAGCGUGCGUAGGCGGCUAAUUGAGUCGGAUGUGAAAUCCCCGAGCUUAACUUGGGAAUUGCAUUCGAUACUGGUUAGCUAGAGUGUGGGAGAGGAUGGUAGAAUUCCAGGUGUAGCGGUGAAAUGCGUAGGGAUCUGGAGGAAUACCGAUGGCGAAGGCAGCCAUCUGGCCUAACACUGACGCUGAGGUACGAAAGCAUGGGGAGCAAACAGG